rnacentral:rRNA from 1 species
CCCUACGGGAGGCAGCAGUUAGGAAUAUUCGUCAAUGGGGGAAACCCUGAACGAGCAAUGCCGCGUGAACGAUGACGGUCCUCUGGAUUGUAAAGUUCUGUUGUUUGGGAAGAACGGCUCUAAUAGGAAAUGAUUAGAGAUUGACUGUACCAUUCAAGAAAGCCACGGCUAACUACGUGCCAGCAGCCGCGGUAAUACGUAGGGGGCAAGCGUUAUCCGGAAUUACUGGGUGUAAAGGGAGCGUAGACGGUUAAGUAAGUCUGGAGUGAAAGGCCGGGGCCCAACCCCGGGACUGCUCUGGAAAC